rnacentral:rRNA from 1 species
UACGGGGGGGGCAAGCGUUGUUCGGAAUUACUGGGCGUAAAGGGCGCGUAGGCGGUUCGCUAAGUCGGAUGUGAAAACUCUGGGCUCAACCCAGAGCCUGCAUCCGAAACUGGCGGGCUAGAGUUCUGGAGGGGGUAGCGGAAUUCCUGGUGUUGCGGUGAAAUGCGUAGAUAUCUGGAGGAAUACCGGUGGCGAAGGCGGCAUCCUGGACCGGCAUUGACGCUGAUGAGCGAAAGCUAGGGGAGCAAACGGG